ACGCACGCUGGCGGCAUGCCUCACACAUGCAAGUCGCACGAGACCUUCGGGUCUAGUGGCGCACGGGUGCGUAACGCGUGGGAAUCUACCCUCAGGUUCGGAAUAACUCAGAGAAAUUUGAGCUAAUACCGGAUGAUGACGUAAGUCCAAAGAUUUAUCGCCUGAGGAUGAGCCCGCGUAGGAUUAGGUAGUUGGUGAGGUAAAGGCUCACCAAGCCGACGAUCCUUAGCUGGUCUGAGAGGAUGAUCAGCCACACUGGGACUGAGACACGGCCCAGACUCCUACGGGAGGCAGCAGUGGGGAAUAUUGGACAAUGGGCGAAAGCCUGAUCCAGCAAUGCCGCGUGAGUGAUGAAGGCCUUAGGGUUGUAAAGCUCUUUUACCCGGGAUGAUAAUGACAGUACCGGGAGAAUAAGCUCCGGCUAACUCCGUG
rnacentral:rRNA from 1 species